rnacentral:lncRNA from 1 species
AGAUGCACAUGGGCCACAUACUAAAGUGAAAAAGCUGUUGUGAAAAAUGUUUAUGUGGCAAGUGACAAUGACUUACUUAUCCAUAACUUGGAAAAAUGUUUUUCUUUGUCUUUAUUAUUGUGGCAUCAAUAUAAUCCACAAUAGUAUACACAGAAUGUACAAACCAUUAGGAACACCUUCCAAAUAUAAUGUUGCACCCCCUUUUGCCCUCAGAACAGCCUAAAUUCUUUGAGGCAUGGACUCAACAAGGUGUUGAAAGCAUUCCAUAGGGACGCUGGCCCAUGUUGACUCCAAUGCUUCUCCCAGUUGUGUCAAGUUGGCUGGAUGUUGUUUGGGUGGUGGACCAUUCUUGAUAAAUACGGGAAACUGUUGAGCAUGAAAAACCCAGUAGCGUUGUAGUUCUUGAUACACUCAAACCGGUGCACUCGGAGAGCGCUGAGAGUCUGGAAGCAUGUUCAGGGAGUGAGUGUUUUAAUAAAUAAAAGAAACAAUGAACACAAACAACGUACUGACAUGAAAACAGAAUCAAUAACGCCUGAGGAAGGAACCAGGAGGAGUGACAGAUACAGGGAAGAUAUUCAAGGAGGUGAUGGAGUCCAGGUGAGUGUCAUAAGGCGCAGGUGCGCUUGACGAUGGCGACAGGUGUGCGGGAUAAUUAGCAGCCUGAUGACCUAGAGGUCAGAGAGGGAGUAUAAUCAGCAGCCUGAUGACCUAGAGGUCAGAGAGGGAGUAUAAUCAGCAGCCUGAUGACCUAGAGGUCAGAGAGGGAGUAUAGUCAGCAGCCUGAUGACCUAGAGGUCAGAGAGGGAGUAUAAUCAGCAGCAUGAUGACCUAGAGGUCAGAGAGGGAGUAUAAUCAGCAGCCUGAUGACCUAGAGGAAGGAGAGGGAGUAUAAUCAGCAGCCUGAUGACCUAGAGGUCAGAGAGGGAGGAUAAUCAGCAGCCUGAUGACCUAGAGGAAGGAGAGGGAGUAUAAUCAGCAGCAUGAUGACCUAGAGGUCAGAGAGGGAGUAUAAUCAGCAGCCUGAUGACCUAGAGGUCAGAGAGGGAGUAUAAUCAGCAGCCUGAUGACCUAGAGGAAGGAGAGGGAGUAUAAUCAGCAGCAUGAUGACCUAGAGGUCAGAGAGGGAGUAUACGUGACACCUACUGUACUACCAUACCCUGUUCGUGCCCAUUCACCCUCUUGUGUAAGUGUGCCAUUCAAUGUCUCAAUUUUCUGAAGGCUUAAACAUCCUUCUUUAACCUGUCUCCUCCCCUUCAUCUACACUGAUUGAAGUGGAUUUAACAGGUGACAUCAAUAAGGGAUCAUAUCUUUCAUCUUUCAUGGAAAGAGCAAGUGUUCUUAAUGUUAUGUACAUUUACAGGACAUUUCUAACAUAAUUGUGCUUUGGUACUUAUCUAGGUCUAUGACAGAGACACAAAACACGCCAGUGGCUGCUAAACCAACUUCGCAUGAUCAACAUCACAGAUGCCAUCAGCAACACAUCGGUGUCAGAAGCAGAAGGUGGGGUCAGCUGGAGGUUACCACCCUAUUGGUGGAGAGAACACACUGGUGAGAUAAUACAGCACUAACAGAAAUAUUAGCUCUUGGUUAGGUGAGAUUGAGUGUUCCCCCACCAAUUCCCAUUGACAUAUACAAACUAUUGAUAGGCAAACAAGCAUGACUUGACUUAAUCCCUUUCUUUGGGGAGCUUAGGUCAUACACAAACUUCCUCCAGCAGGGAAACAACUUCUGAGUAUUGGAGUUAGGUGUCCAUGCCUAAGGCCUUAGCAAUUGCAUAAGUAUGUCAGGUAGUGUGUUUUUUUAUUAGGGUGUGUUUGGAUGGCCGCCAAUCUACAGAGCUCCUUUUUGGGGGCCAUCUUGGAGCAGUUCAGCUGGGGGCAGACCCGAGGACCCACGCGGAUGAUGGCAGCACUCCAGAGCAAGCAUGCAAUAAUCAGGGUUAUAUAUAUAUAUGUGUGUGUGUGUGUGUGUGUGUGUGUGUGUGUGUGUGUGUGUGUGUGUGUGUGUGUGUGUGUGUGUUUGAGAAAGAGAGAGAGACAGAGGGUGUCUGUGUAUUUGUGUUUUACAAGCCUUG